ACAGAGUGACAGGUGGUGCAUGGUUGUCGUCAGCUCGUGUCGUGAGAUGUUGGGUUAAGUCCCGCAACGAGCGCAACCCUUGAUCUUAGUUGCCAGCAUUCAGUUGGGCACUCUAAGGUGACUGCCGGUGACAAACCGGAGGAAGGUGGGGAUGACGUCAAAUCAUCAUGCCCCUUAUGACCUGGGCUACACACGUGCUACAAUGGAUGGUACAAAGGGCAGCGAAGCCGCGAGGUGGAGCCAAUCCCAUAAAACCAUUCUCAGUUCGGAUUGCAGGCUGCAACUCGCCUGCAUGAAGCCGGAAUCGCUAGUAAUCGCGGAUCAGCAUGCCGCGGUGAAUACGUUCCCGGGCCUUGUACACACCGCCCGUCACACCACGAGAGUUUGUAACACCCGAAGUCGGUGGGGUAACCGUAAGGAGCCAGCCGCCUAAGGUGGGACAGAUGAUUGGGGUGAAGUCGUAACAAGGUAGCCGUAUCGGAAGGUGCGGCUGGAUCAC
rnacentral:rRNA from 1 species